rnacentral:rRNA from 1 species
GACGAACGCUGGCGGCGUGCUUAACACAUGCAAGUCGAACGGUAAGGCCCUUCGGGGUACACGAGUGGCGAACGGGUGAGUAACACGUGGGUGAUCUGCCCUGCACUUUGGGAUAAGCCUGGGAAACUGGGUCUAAUACCGAAUACACCCUGCUGGUCGCAUGGCCUGGUGGGGGAAAGCUUUUGCGGUGUGGGAUGGGCCCGCGGCCUAUCAGCUUGUUGGUGGGGUGAUGGCCUACCAAGGCGAGGAGGGGUAGCCGGCCUGAGAGGGUGACCGGCGACGCGGGGACUGAGAUACGGCCCAGACUACGACGGGAGGCGGCAGUGGGGAGUAUUGAACAAGGGGCGCAAGCCGGAUGCAGCGACGCCGCGUGAGGGAUGACGGCCUUCGGGUUGUAAACCUCUUUCAAUAGGGACGAAGCGCAAGUGACGGUACCUAUAGAAGAAGGACCGGCCAACUACGUGCCAGCCGCCGCCGUAA